UGUAGGCCUGGGCUCCCUGUGCUGUGUGAGGGGCCCUCACACGUCCUGGGUGAGCCCUGAGGAAGGGCAGCACCUUCCCAAUAACAGCACUGGCCAAAACACACACAACAAGAAGAUUAUCUAAAGCUAGUCCUGGGGACAGCCCCCUCUGCACUGAGACAAGUGACAACUGCAGGAUGAACCAUUUCCUUUAACAGUUGCAUCAGCCCCCUCUCUGAAGAAAACAUAAAACUUCUGAAGCCAAGCCACCGUGAAAUUUGGGAAGCAGCUUUUCUAGCUGAAGUUUGUCUUUGCUGCAGCAGAGCAACCUAAAGCACUUGACUCUUACUCACUUACGGGGACUUUUUCCAGUUAGCACUUGUUUCACUUUUGUUUUCUUCCUGACAGAAACCAAUCUCCCUUCUGAAAGUCCAUUGUAAAAGAAACUGAGUAACAGACUGUGAAGCUGCUUAGAAGAUAGAAAAUAUCUACAAAAAUACAGAAAAUAUCUACAAAAGGA